rnacentral:rRNA from 1 species
GACGAACGCUGGCGGCGUGCUUAACACAUGCAAGUCGAACGGAAAGGCCCUGAGAUUGUGGGGUGCUCGAGUGGCGAACGGGGGCGUAAGACGUGAGCAACCUGCUCUAGACUUUGGGGUAAGAUCAGGAAAGUGGGGCUAAUACAGGACAGGAGCCCCCGCUGCAGGGAGGGGGGUGGAAAGUUUCGGCGGGUGGGGAUGGACUAGCGGUUUAUCGGCUUGUUGGUGGGUAGGGGCUUACCAAGGCAUUGACGGGUAGCCCGCCUGGGAGGGUGACCGGCCACCUUGGUCCUGCGGUACGGCCCAGACUCCUACGGUAGGCAGCAGUGGGGAAUAUUGCACAGUGGGCGGAAGCCUGAUGCAGCAACGCCGCGUGCGGGAUGACGUCCUUCGGGUUGUAAACCGCUUUCGCCUGUGACGAAGCGUGAGUGACGGUAAUGGGUAAAGAAGCACCGGCUAACUACGUG